UACGUAGGGUGCAAGCGUUGUCCGGAAUUACUGGGCGUAAAGCGUGCGCAGGCGGUUCGUUGUGUCGGCGGUGAAAGCCCCCGGGCUUAACCUGGGAAUGGCCGUUGAAACUGGCGAACUGGAGUGUGGCAGAGGGGGGUGGAAUUCCGCGUGUAGCAGUGAAAUGCGUAGAGAUGCGGAGGAACACCGAUGGCGAAGGCAGCCCCCUGGGCUGACACUGACGCUCAUGCACGAAAGCGUGGGGAGCAAACAGG
rnacentral:rRNA from 1 species